rnacentral:rRNA from 1 species
UACGUAGGUGGCGAGCGUUGUCCGGAUUUACUGGGCGUAAAGAGCGCGCAGGCGGUCGUUCAAGUCGCGUGUGAAAGCCCCCGGCUCAACUGGGGAGGGUCACGCGAUACUGAUCGACUCGAAGGCAGGAGAGGGAAGUGGAAUUCCCGGUGUAGUGGUGAAAUGCGUAGAUAUCGGGAGGAACACCAGUGGCGAAGGCGACUUCCUGGCCUGUUCUUGACGCUGAGGCGCGAAAGUUAGGGGAGCAAACGGG